AGCAGCCGCGGUAAUUCCAGCUCCAAUAGCGUAUAUUAAAGUUGUUGAGGUUAAAAAGCUCGUAGUUGAACCUUGGGCCUGGCUGGCCGGUCCGCCUCACCGCGUGCACUGGUCCGGCCGGGUCUUUCCCUCUGUGGAACCCCAUGCCCUUCACUGGGUGUGGCGGGGAAACAGGACUUUUACUUUGAAAAAAUUAGAGUGCUCCAGGCAGGCCUUUGCUCGAAUACAUUAGCAUGGAAUAAUAGAAUAGGACGUGUGGUUCUAUUUUGUUGGUUUCUAGGACCGCCGUAAUGAUUAAUAGGGACAGUCGGGGGCGUCAGUAUUCCAUAGUCAGAGGUGAAAUUCUUGGAUCUAUGGAAGACUAACUACUGCGAAAGCAUUCGUCAAGGAUGUUUUCAUUAAUCAGGAACGAAAGUUAGGGGAUCGAAGACGAUCAGAUACCGUCGUAGUCUUAACCAUAAACUAUGCCGACUAGGGAUCGGACGGUGUUAUUUAUGACCCG
rnacentral:rRNA from 1 species